UCGGCAAUGGGCGAAAGCCUGACCGAGCGACGCCGCGUGCGGGAUGAAGGCCUUCGGGUUGUAAACCGCUGUCGUUGGGGAGGAAGUGCAGGGGGGUUCUCCCCUCUGUUUGACCUAUCCGAGGAGGAAGCACGGGCUAAGUUCGUGCCAGCAGCCGCGGUAAGACGAACCGUGCGAACGUUGUUCGGAAUCAUUGGGCUUAAAGGGCGCGUAGGCGGGUGUUCAAGUCCGGGGUGAAAGCCUCCAGCUCAACUGGAGAAGAGCCCCGGAUACUGUUCACCUGGAGAGAGAUAGGGGCACAUGGAACUUCCGGUGGAGCGGUGAAAUGCGUAGAGAUCGGAAGGAACGCCGGUGGCGAAAGCGAUGUGCUGGAUCUUUUCUGACGCUGAGGCGCGAAAGCUAGGGGAGCAAACGGGAUUAGAUACCCCGGUAGUCCUAGCCCUAAACGAUGGGUACUGGGUUGCGGGUCAGACAUAGACUCGCAGCCGAAGCAAAAGUGUUAAGUACCCCGCCUGGGGAGUAUGGUCGCAAGGCUGAAACUCAAAGGA
rnacentral:rRNA from 1 species